rnacentral:sRNA from 1 species
UGUCUUGAGUCUAUGUGACUUGUGGUCAGGUCCUCUACCUGUUAAGGGGCUUGGGGCAUUGCCCUUACGUGACUGGUGGUCACAAAUCUAUGGAGGGCUGCGGAUAGUGACUAGCCUGGUUUCCUAGGAGUCAGGUUAAACGCCUACCAUCCCUCGGGGUCUCCGGAAUUUCAAACAUCCUCAGCUGGGAACCAGGGUCUUUCACUGUCCCACACAUGGCAUCAUAGUCAACGAUAGAUUAACAUGUGUAGCUUUAUCUAAAAUCUAUUCCCUUCUGGUGACAGAACUCAUGCCUUCUUCACUGAAACUGCCCUUACUGCGCAUGUAUCUGGAUGGAAUAUAUCUAUUCCAGGAUUUUAUGAGAGGCUUAGGGCUAGCUAACCUAAGCAUUGGAUUCAUUUUCUCUGGCUAUCUUAGCUACUGCCCUUUGGCUGCGAAGGGACAACACGAUCAAGGCGACUCUUAUAAAAGAAAGCAUUUAAUUGAGAGCUUGCUCACAGUUUAGUACAGCGGUUUCUCCACCUUCCUUUAAUACAGUUCCUCAUGUGGUGGUGACUUCCAAGCAUACCAUUAUUCUCAUUGCUACUUCAGAACUGUAAUUUCCUGCUCUUAUGAAUAGGUCGUAAUAUAGCUAUCUGUGUUUUCUAAUAGUCUUAGGCAAUCCCUGUGAAACGGUUGUUUGAUGUCUGCCCCACUAAGGGUUGCAACCCACGGGCUGAAAACUGCUGGUUUGGAGGAUUAGUCCAUGAUCUCUGUGGUGGUAAGCAGACAGGAAUGAUACUGGAGCCACAGCUGAGGGCUUUACAUCCUGAUUUGCACCAGCAGGCAGAGAUGGAGGGAGACGACAGAGACUGAGCCUGGUGUGGGUUUCGAAACCUCAAAGCUCAUCCUCGGUGACACAUGUGCUCCAUCAAGGCCACACCCACUCCAAAAUGCCACACCUUCCAAUCCUUUCCAAGCAGUUCCACUAACUAGGGAGCAAGCAUUCAAUGUAUGAGCCUAUGGGGGGUGGCCAGCCUCAUUCACACCACCACACGGACCACACUGAUGGACUUGGGGGAUGCGCACGUAAGCCGAGGAGGCCUGAUGUGUUUUCUAAUAGUCUUAGGCAAUCCCCGUGAAACGGUUGUUUGACGUCUGCCCCACUAAGGGUUGCAACCCACGGGCUGAAAACUGCUGGUUUGGAGGAUUAGUCCAUGAUCUCUGUGGUGGUAAGCAGACAGGAAUGAUACUGUUCUAGGAAUGAUACCCGAGGUUUUGCUUUGAGCUGCAAGGAAGACAAACCGUGAAUGCUCUCACUCAGCUAUAGAAAGUGAGCUUGCAGGUGCCGAGACAAUGGAGAAAAGCGUGCCCAAGACUGAGGACUUAAGCUAAGGCGAAGGGAGACACCCAGUGCCACAGGCAUGGUUAUAGCCCCUGAAGCUAGUUGAGUUGCCAGUUCCUCACAUGGAUGGAAUUGUUAUCAUUUCCUUAAGCCAACGUGGAGUUUGCUAACGCUUGUUUUUAAAUGAAUAUUUGUUUACUUAUUUAAAGGUUUAGUCAUUUUACGUGUUCAUGUGCUCCAUCUUCAGGAUCACCAUAGCAGGGCAUCGGAUUCCAUUAUCAGAUUCUGAACUACCAUGUGCUUGCUGGGAAUUGAACUUGGGACGUCUGGAAGGGCGGGGUUUCUAACCAUUGAGCCAUCUCUCCGUAUCCAUGAAAUUUUAUUUUUGACACAGACUGUGGUCAUAUCUCUCAAGCUUGUCUAGAAUACCUAAUCCUCCCAUCUCAGCCUCGUGAGUGCUGCGAUUGUAGGAGCAGCCUUCAGCCUGUCUACUGUGUUACAAGACAGAAGAGUGCACGUGUAGCUUUCAGCGUGGCACUGUGAACAUCUUCCCAGAUGUUGGAAGAAGCUGCAUAAAAACAGUCUCCUUAGUCACCCGUGCUCCACUCUGACUAGAGUAGAUGGCAGGAGCCACCUCAGACACUCCCCUGCUGGUGAGGACAGCUACGUUUCAGCUCCUAGGUCCAUCUACAACUGAAAUGGUGUCUGGAACUGAGAGGGUCCUCAGCAGAUCCUUACACCUGCCAUAGCCGACUGGGAAGGUGAGAAAUGGAGCCUCUGUCGUCUUCUUCCGUUCUGUUCAGCAUACAUCUGGCACCUGGUGAAGGCCGCUUGGUGUGUUGAUAAUGACUCGUGGAAAAUACACCAUAAGAGUCCAAGUGAGGAAAAGAAAGACUCAGGUGUGGUGAACAGCCAGCCACACACCCAGACUGGCCUUCUCCAUAAUAGAAUGGAGCUCUUUCUCCCUCAGUGCAGUUGAACAAACCAAUCCAAGUGAGGAAACCUCAGGGAAGGAGUGGCUUUCACUUCCCUAAGCAGCCUAGCCUAUCUCCUCUUAACCCCUGUGACCCUCAAAACCCAGUAAAUUCCUUCUUUUAUCUAUCUCAAAUCCUUUCUAUUACUCUCUAAGCCAAUUUUCUCGUGUACUGUAUUCAGUGGGAAUUGGAAACAGCUGGUCACCAUCUGCUGUAGAUUAACUCUUCAUGUACUUGAAGCCUAUAAUUAGGUCAUCGCUCAGCCUUCUCUUCUCCAGGCAAAAUAGCUCCUUUCCUUUAACCCUUCCCUGAAGGUUUUGUUUUCCAAUUAUUUAAUUGUUCUCUGUAGUGUUGCCCAAGAGUCUGCACUCUUCACACAUCUCCAGUCAAGGGCUGGGUCAUCGGGAAGGGUCAAGGAGUGUUGAAAGUCACCAUUGUCACUUUCCGAGGGUCUUUUUUCCGAGUUUAUUUUCAGAGGGCCAUUUAGUUUUUAAUGAUUAUAACUUAAUUUGUUUGGUUCUUAAUUAAAAUACAAAACACCAUUUCCCCUACCCUCUUCUUUCAUGCUCCCCCUGCCCCCACCUAAAAUUCAUGGUCCCCCGUUUCUUUAAUUAUUAUUGUUUCAUACAUAGAUUAUAUAUGCACAUGAAUAAAUGAACACAUGAAUGCUGACUCCCUUUACUGUUGUUGUAUGCAUACGUUUUUAGGGCUGAAUAACCAGUUAGGAAGCUUGCCCUUAGAGAAGACUACAGCUGUUUGAAGCUCUUCAUCUAGGUGUGGUGCCCGGUGACAUUCACCCUUUCACAUUGGAAUGCCUAUUGAUUUGGAUCAACGCUGUUCGAGUCUUAGAUAGGCAGCCAUGUUGUUAAGAUUUCACAAGGGCAGCUUCCCUGUCAUAGAGAGAAGCAUGUCAAAGCAAACACCCUUGUUCUCUGCCUCUGGCAAUCUUGUUGGCACACUGCUCCUCUUCUCUAAUGCUUCAGAAGGCUGUUUAGAUAGGGGAGAACAUCCUUCAACUCAGCAGGCCUCCACUGUCUUGAAAUUGGAGCAAAGAGGUCAAACUGUCCCAUUUUACUCUUCUCCUCACAUGGGAGGCGCUAGAGCACGCCAUGGACUUUGCGGCUUGGUGUCUGUAAGCUCACCAGUGCAGACUGCCGGCACAUAAUUAUCCUCUCAAUUAUGGAUAUAGCACUGAGAUCACACUUGAAAAGUAGGAAGGUCUUUUGAGAAAUUUCACAACAUUGUGCACAAUUUUGGGUCUCAUCAUGAUAUUUUCACACAUGCCUGUAACUAUCUUGAUCAUAUUUACCAUUACUCUCUCUCGUGCAUUCUCAAUGGUCCCCUUAUUCUUCCAAACCUGCGUCCAGGAGAGAGAUGCUUAGCUUGACUGGUCUUAGGAAACUAGUCCGGCGGUGAGAAGUCUAAACUUUUCUGUUUGACUAUUUACUUGCACACGUGUGUCCGAGUGUGUGUAAGCACAUGUCACAGGGCAUACAGAGACAUCCGAGGAUGACUAGAGGGAGCUGAUUCUCUCCUCCCAUCGUGUGGGUUUUGGGGUUUAACUCGUGUUUUUAGGCCCGGUGGGAUGCGCCCUUACCCACCGAUCCAUCUUAUCUUCCCCGCCAAUUUCAUCUUUUAAUUAUUUUACUUUUGAGACAAGGUUUUCUUCGAAGUCCACGUUGGCCAUGGGUUUAAUAUACUCUUCGUGCCCCUGUCUCCAGAGUGCUAGGAUUACACGUACGUGCGACCAUGCUUGGUUCCUUCUCCCUUUUAAGUCCUGGAAAUACAUACGCUGGUAUUUUCCUGGGACCAGCACUUCCUGAUGCUCCGUAAUAGACUUAGUAGGUUAGCAUGCCAGAUGCGAUGAUGGUGGCGGUCCAUAUCUCUUGCUUCCUUCAUGCGGGAAUAAGCUUUUGCUGAGAAGAGAGUGGGAUGAUCCCACCUAGAAAAGCGUGCUGCCUGAGGAUGUGGAGGAGGCAGGUAUCUCUGAAGAAUAUACCCUAAACUGAAGGAUGAACAGCCAGAAUCUGAAAUCCAAUUACAGCAUUGCAUUUGAUAUUGGACAUAGAGUGAAGGAGUAACCACUCUUGAUGAUGUCAUAGUGUUGUAGUGUUGUCCUGGCAACAUGGCGGGAGACUU